rnacentral:misc_RNA from 1 species
GACGAAGGAUGCGAGCGUUAUCCGGAUUCACUGGGUUUAAAGGGUGCGUAGGCGGGUAGAUAAGUCACAGGUAAAAGGUCACGGCUUAACCGUGGAACUGCCUGUGAUACUGUCUAUCUUGAAGGUGAUCGACGUUUCUGGAAUAGGGCAAGUAGAGGUGAAAUUCAUAGAUAUGCCCUAGAACACCGAAAGCGAAGGCAGGAAACGAGGUCAUACUUGACGCUGAGGCACGAAAGCGUGGGGAGCAAACAGG